rnacentral:rRNA from 1 species
UGGGGAAUAUUGCACAAUGGGCGCAAGCCUGAUGCAGCCAUGCCGCGUGUAUGAAGAAGGCCUUCGGGUUGUAAAGUACUUUCAGCGAGGAGGAAGGCGGUAAGGUUAAUAACCUUAUCGAUUGACGUUACUCGCAGAAGAAGCACCGGCUAACUCCGUGCCAGCAGCCGCGGUAACACGGAGGGUGCAAGCGUUAAUCGGAAUUACUGGGCGUAAAGCGCACGCAGGCGGUCUGUCAAGUCGGAUGUGAAAUCCCCGGGCUCAACCUGGGAACUGCAUUCGAAACUGGCAGGCUAGAGUCUUGUAGAGGGGGGUAGAAUUCCAGGUGUAGCGGUGAAAUGCGUAGAGAUCUGGAGGAAUACCGGUGGCGAAGGCGGCCCCCUGGACAAAGACUGACGCUCAGGUGCGAAAGCGUGGGGAGCAAACA